rnacentral:rRNA from 1 species
UACAGAGGUCCCAAGCGUUGUUCGGAUUCACUGGGCGUAAAGGGUGCGUAGGUGGUGAGGUAAGUCGGAUGUGAAAGCUCGGAGCUCAACUCCGAAAUGGCAUUGGAAACUACCUUGCUCGAGGGUUGGAGGGGGGACUGGAAUACUUGGUGUAGCAGUGAAAUGCGUAGAUAUCAGGAGGAACACCUGUGGCGAAAGCGGCGCACUGGACCACAACUGACGCUGAGGCGCGAAAGCUAGGGGAGCAAACAGG